rnacentral:rRNA from 1 species
GUCGAGAAUCUUUCACAAUGGGGGCAACCCUGAUGGAGCGACGCCGCGUGGAGGAUAAGGUCUUCGGAUUGUAAACUCCUGUCAUGCGUGAACAAGGUUGCUUGGUUAAUACCUGGGCAAAUUGAUGGUAACGCAAGAGGAAGAGACGGCUAACUCUGUGCCAGCAGCCGCGGUAAUACAGAGGUCUCAAGCGCUGUUCGGAAUCACUGGGCGUAAAGGGUGCGUAGGUGGCGUGGUAAGUCAGAUGUGAAAGCCCGGGGCUCAACCUCGGAACUGCAUCCGAUACUGCCAUGCUAGAGUACUGGAGAGGUGACUAGAAUUCUCGGUGUAGCAGUGAAAUGCGUAGAUAUCGAGAGGAAUACCAAAGGCGUAGGCAGGUCACUGGACAGUUACUGACACUGAGGCACGAAGGCCAGGGGAGCGAACGGGAUUAGAUACCCCGGUAGUCC